rnacentral:misc_RNA from 1 species
CAGAUGCUGCAAUGGUAAAUGCCAUGGCUGAUUUCGGCAUCAACACAGAUUUCCGAAGCAUGGCUAUGAAUGGAACUGCUGCAUGGACAGCUGUGAACCAUGAUGCUGAAAACUUUUGGGUGUGCUCCCUCCAUAUUCCUAAUGGGAUAUUUGCGGCCAUGCCCAACAUCCCAAUUACAAGUAUUUUGGCAGGCAAGGGUUGAGGCCGAAGGUUCUUUGCAAAAGCUGUCCGUGAUAUAGUUGCUCGGGCUGCAACCACGGCAGGUGGGG